UGGGAACCAGAAGACACUCCUGGAGGAGUCGU
rnacentral:piRNA from 1 species